rnacentral:rRNA from 1 species
GAUGAACGCUGACAGAAUGCUUAACACAUGCAAGUCUUUGGCGAAGCUGUGCUUGCACAGCCUAGCCAAGGCGGACGGGUGAGUAACGCGUAAGGGACUUGCCCUGCAGUCAGGGAUAACAGACGGAAACGACUGAUAAAACCUGGUAAAGUCAGGCGGACUCAUGUCCAGCCUGAUGAAAAGGAAUGCUGCAGGAGAGCCUUGCGUCCUAUUAGCUUGUUGGUGGGGUAACGGCCCACCAAGGCGAUGAUAGGUAGCCGGCCUGAGAGGGUGGACGGCCACAAGGGGACUGAGAUACGGCCCUUACUCCUACGGGAGGCAGCAGUGGGGAAUAUUGGACAAUGGGGGCAACCCUGAUCCAGCAAUUCUGUGUGCACGAUGAAGGUCUUCGGAUUGUAAAGUGCUUUCAGCAGGGAAGAAAAAAAUGACGGUACCUGCAGAAGAAGCGACGGCUAAAUACGUGCCAGCAGCCGCGGUAAUACGUAUGUCGCGAGCGUUAUCCGGAAUUAUUGGGCAUAAAGGGCAUCUAGGCGGCCGGAUAAGUCUGGUGUGAAAACUUGCGGCUCAACCGCAAGCCUGCCCUGGAAACUAUGCGGCUAGAGUGCUGGAGAGGUGGACGGAACUGCACUAGUAUAGGUGAUAUUCGUAGAUAUGUGCAUGAAUGCCGAUAUGAAAAUAGUUCACUGGACGGCAACUGACGCUGAAGUGCGAAAGCUAGGGGAGCAAACGG